rnacentral:rRNA from 1 species
AUUGAACGCUGGCGGCAGGCCUAACACAUGCAAGUCGAACGAGUGGCGGACGGGUGAGUAAUGUCUGGGAAACUGCAUGAUGGAGGGGGAUAACUACUGGAAACGGUAGCUAAUACCGCAUAACAUCAGAUGUGCCCAGAUGGGAUUAGCGAGUGGGGUGGGUAACGGCUCACCAAGGCUACGAUCCCUAGCUGGUCUGAGAGGAUGACCAGCCACACUGGCACUGAGACACGGUCCAGACCCUUACGUGAGGCAGCAGUGGGGAAUAUUGCACAAUGGGCGCAAGCCUGAUGCAGCCAUGCCGCGUGUAUUAAGAAGGCCUUCGGUUUGUAAAGUACUUUCAGCGGGGAGGCGUUACCCGCAGAAGAAUCACCGGCUAACUCCGUGCCAGCAGCCGCGGUAAUAC